GGGCGGGGAUUAGUGGCGAACGGGUGAGUAACACGUGGGCAAUCUGCCCUGCACUCUGGGACAAGCCCUGGAAACGGGGUCUAAUACCGGAUAUGACUGUCCAUCGCAUGGUGGAUGGUGUAAAGCUCCGGCGGUGCAGGAUGAGCCCGCGGCCUAUCAGCUUGUUGGUGAGGUAGUGGCUCACCAAGGCGACGACGGGUAGCCGGCCUGAGAGGGCGACCGGCCACACUGGGACUGAGACACGGCCCAGACUCCUACGGGAGGCAGCAGUGGGGAAUAUUGCACAAUGGGCGAAAGCCUGAUGCAGCGACGCCGCGUGAGGGAUGACGGCCUUCGGGUUGUAAACCUCUUUCAGCAGGGAAGAAGCGAAAGUGACGGUACCUGCAGAAGAAGCGCCGGCUAACUACGUGCCAGCAGCCGCGGUAAUACGUAGGGCGCAAGCGUUGUCCGGAAUUAUUG
rnacentral:rRNA from 1 species